AAUAAGUUAAGUAAGGGCGUAUGGCGGAUGCCUAGGCUCUCAGAGACGAUGAAGGACGUGAUAAGCUGCGAAAAGUUACGGGGAGAAGCACAUAUUUUAUGAUCCGUAAAUAUCCGAAUGGGGCAACCCGGCAUGCUGAAGGCAUGUCACCUAGCAAUAGGGGUAAACCCGGUGAACUGAAACAUCUAAGUAACCGGAGGAAGAGAAAACAAAAGUGAUUCCGUUAGUAGUGGCGAGCGAACGCGGAUUAGCCCAAACCAGUGUU
rnacentral:rRNA from 1 species